rnacentral:rRNA from 1 species
GAUGAACGCUGGCGGCGUGCCUAACACAUGCAAGUCGAGCGAUCUUCUUCGGAAGAGAGCGGCGGACGGGUGAGUAACGCGUGGGUAACCUGCCCUGUACACACGGAUAACAUACCGAAAGGUAUGCUAAUACGAGAUAAUAUGCUUUUAUCGCAUGGUAGAAGUAUCAAAGCUCCGGCGGUACAGGAUGGACCCGCGUCUGAUUAGCUAGUUGGUGAGGUAACGGCUCACCAAGGCGACGAUCAGUAGCCGACCUGAGAGGGUGAUCGGCCACAUUGGAACUGAGACACGGUCCAAACUCCUACGGGAGGCAGCAGUGGGGAAUAUUGCACAAUGGGCGAAAGCCUGAUGCAGCAACGCCGCGUGAGCGAUGAAGGCCUUCGGGUCGUAAAGCUCUGUCCUCAAGGAAGAUAAUGACGGUACUUGAGGAGGAAGCCCGGCUAACUACGUG